UACGUAGGUGGCAAGCGUUGUCCGGAUUUACUGGGCGUAAAGGGCGUGCAGGCGGUUUGUUAAGUGCAGGGUGAAAGCUCCCGGCUCAACUGGGAGAGGUCCUUGCAUACUGGCAAACUCGAGGGAGGCAGAGGAAAGUGGAAUUCCCGGUGUAGUAGUGAUAUGCGUAGAUAUCAGGAGGAACACCAGUGGCGAAGGCGGUGCUCUGGGCCGGUACUGACGCUGAAGCACGAAGGCCAGGGGAGCAAACGGG
rnacentral:rRNA from 1 species